rnacentral:tmRNA from 1 species
GGGCUUUCGAUCCGGCGCGCGGCCGCUUAUAUUCCUUUCUGCCAGCGACGGUUGGCUAUGGCGAUAAACGGCUUGCGUAAUAAGCCCAUGGGACCCGGGGGCAGUACCCGGCGCCUCCACCCCAGCCCGCGCUCCGCGCGGGUUGCGGUGGGGGCGAAACAGGCUCGACCAGGGUGUAAAGGCAAGGCUUUCGCUCGGCAUGGUACCGCCGUUAUCGGACCAAAAUUAUAGUUGCCAACGACAACUAUGCUGAGGCUCGUCUCGCUGCGUAAUGCAGCGCGACACCUCUUUUAAGCCCUUGCCGGUAGCACGGUAAGGCGGGGUCCCGGGGGCACCUGGCAACAGAAGCCCCCACU